GGAGUACUUGAUGUUCUGCCAGGUGCGAUGAGUUGGAGGAUUGGGUCUCAGCAUUGGACGAGCGGUUUGUGGAGUGCCAGAUCUAACUCUUCCAGCUCAUCCCACUCUGGACCUCCUCUUCUUUGACGG
rnacentral:precursor_RNA from 8 species